GGAAGACAAAAAGCCUGUGAGGGUUUCAAUUUCUUUAAAUAGCUUAUAUUUGUAUACACUAUAACUUAAACAUGGAUAUCUGUUCAUGCUAAAACAAAGAAGACUAAUAAAAACUCGAGAAAUGCAAAAAUCAAAUCAACAACACAAGAUAUACAACAAAAUUUUCAAAAAUUGAAGAGAUAUACAAAUGAUAUUUGUGUGCUAGCUAGAUGAGGUCUCUAAUCUUGUUUUACCUUGCAUCUAACAUUGUAACUGUGACUUGGUUUACU
rnacentral:misc_RNA from 1 species